CCCUUAGAUGUUCUGGGCCGCACGCGCGCUACACUGAUGAAUGCAACGAGCUCUACCCUUGACCGAAAGGCCCGGGUAAACUUGUGAAACUUCAUCGUGAUGGGGAUAGAUUAUUGCAAUUAUUAAUCUUCAACGAGGAAUUCCUAGUAAGCGCGAGUCAUCAGCUCGCGUUGAUUACGUCCCUGCCCUUUGUACACACCGCCCGUCGCUCCUACCGAUUGAAUGGUCCGGUGAAAUCUUCGGAUUGCUGACCAAGAUCCAGCAAUGGAGCUUGGUUGCGAGAAGUUUAUUAAACCUUAUUAUUUAGAGGAAGGAGAAGUCGUAACA
rnacentral:rRNA from 1 species